CCUACGGGAGGCAGCAGUGGGGGAUAUUGCACAAUGGGGGGAACCCUGAUGCAGCGACGCCGCGUGGGUGAAGAAGCGCCUCGGCGCGUAAAGCCCUGUCAGCAGGGAAGAAAAUGACGGUACCUGAAGAAGAAGCACCGGCUAACUACGUGCCAGCAGCCGCGGUAAUACGGAGGGGGCAAGCGUUAUCCGGAUUUACUGGGUGUAAAGGUGGCGCAGACGGCGAUGCAAGCCAGGAGUGAAAGCCCGGGGGCCAACCCCGGGACUGCUCUUGGAACUGCGUGGCUGGAGUGCAGGAGGGGCAGGCGGAAUUCCUGGUGUAGCGGUGAAAUGCGUAGAUAUCAGGAGGAACACCGGUGGCGAAGGCGGCCUGCUGGACUGCAACUGACGUUGAGGCCCGAAAGCGUGGGGAGCAAACAGGAUUAGAUACCCGUGUAGUC
rnacentral:rRNA from 1 species